UGCCAGCCGCCGCGGUAAUACGGAGGCACCAAGCGUUGUCCGGAUUUAUUGGGCGUAAAGAGCUCGUAGGCGGUUCGGUAAGUCGGGUGUGAAAACUCUGGGCUCAACCCAGAGACGCCACUCGAUACUGCUGUGACUUGAGUACGGUAGGGGAGCGGGGAAUUCCUGGUGUAGCGGUGAAAUGCAUAGAUAUGACACAGAACGCCAAUUGCGAAGGCAGCUUACUAAGCUACGAUUGACGCUGAGGCACGAAAGCGUGGGGAGCGAACAGGAUUAGAUA
rnacentral:rRNA from 1 species